CUCAAAGUGCUGGGAUUACAGGUCUGAGCCACCACACCCGGCCUAUCUUUUUAGUUUCUGUAUUUUGAUGUUUGACCUGUGGGGACUUACUGACCCUUGAAGGAAGGAAUUAUCCCUCUAGCCAGUUCCUGGAGAUGGUCGAUAACUGGCCCUAGAGCAUGCUUCUCAAAUGCAAACCAACCAUUCAGACUAACCACUAACCAUGCCCUCAACCACCUUCACUAAGUGCCUCACACUCAGGGCCUCUAUUCCCCUGCCCUCAUAUCCCCAGGGCUAGGAACCAAACAACUAGGGAGAUCCCCUAAAUCCCAGAGGCCGCCGAAUUUAUUCAAACCAGGCAAAGGUGAGCCUGUCCUCAGAACCACAAUUAUGUCUUUUGCCCAUUUCCCCACUCCCUCUGCCUUCUGACUGACCCUGGAGCCUCCUUGCUGGCACCCUAUGGCUUGGUGUGCCCUGUCCUCUUGGGAUCUGUGAUGUGACUAUAACAGCUUUCUUUUCAAUGGCAGCCAUCUCCUGAUCUGUUGGCCUUGUCAUACUUAAACGAUAGUAAAACCUCGAUUUUAAAACAGAAGGAAGAUACUCAUUCCCGAGGGACAAAGCAGGUGAGCAGAUGGACUGAGUCAGGAAUGAAGCCUCUAGGUCCUACUUAAGCCUCCUUUUCUUGGCUUUGAAGAGCAAUGAUACUACUUUCAUCCAUUGUCAACAAGAGUGUCUCACCCUCCCCCACAGCCUGAAGCACCUUUGCAAAACUGAGGCGGGGAGGCUAGCUGGGAAGAAUUUGGCUGAAUGAGGAGGGUUUUGAGUGCCAAACCAAAAAAUUAACUUACUUGCCAUUUAUUGGUGAUCUGCUCUGUGUUAGGUGCAGUGUUAGGCACUCGGUCUGUAUUUUCUCUUGUUAAAUUUCACAGCAACUCUUUGAGUUGUUAGGUGAUAUAAUCACUGUUUUCCAAAUAAGGAGGCCAAGGUUCAGAGUCAUUAAGCAGUUUCACCCAAGAUCACAAAGACAAGAAGUGGCUUUUGGAAUCUGAAGUGGGAUUUGAACAUAGGAUCUUUGACCCUAAGGUUUGACGCUGAAUGGAAGUUUGCUAGGAAGACAAAGGAAAUAGGAAGCUGUAGAAGGCGUUUCUGGAAGAGGGUGCAGCAUGUACAAAGGCAUGAAGAUAUGAGAUUUUGCAGAUAAUGAAGAAAAGAUCCCAUGCUAGAAAGAGAGAUGUGGGUAAG
rnacentral:lncRNA from 13 species